rnacentral:rRNA from 1 species
CACAGGGAUUGCCUUAGUAGCGGCGAGCGAAGCGGCAACAGCUCAAAUUUGAAAUCUGGCUACUUUGUAGUCCGAGUUGUAAUUUGCAGAGGAUGCUUUUGGUGAGGUGCCUUCCGAGUUCCCUGGAACGGGACGCCAGAGAGGGUGAGAGCCCCGUACGGUUGGACACCAAACCUUUGUAUAGCUCCUUCAACGAGUCGAGUAGUUUGGGAAUGCUGCUCUAAAUGGGAGGUAUAUCUCUUCUAAAGCUAAAUACCGGCUAGAGACCGAUAGCGCACAAGUAGAGUGAUCGAAAGAUGAAAAGCACUUUGAAAAGAGAGUUAAACAGCACGUGAAAUUGUUGAAAGGGAAGCGCCUAUGACCAGACUUGUUUCUGUCAGUUUUGCUUGUUUUCGGACUUGUUUACUCUGUCAGUACAGGCCAACAUCAGUUUGUUGUUUGGGAGAAAGGCUUAGGGAAUGUGGCUCCCUCGGGAGUGUUAUAGCCCUUUGCAUAAUACCAUUCGGCAGACUGAGGACCGCGCUUCGGCAAGGAUGUUGGCGUAAUGGUCAUCAGCGACCCGUCUUGAAACACGGACCAAGGAGUCAACCUUAUGUGCGAGUGUUUGGGUGUAAAACCCCAGCGCGUAAUGAACGUGAACGUAGGUGAGAGCUUCGGCGCAUCAUCGACCGAUUCUGAUGUUCUCGGAUGGAUUUGAGUAAGAGCAUAUAGGGUUGGACCCGAAAGAAGGUGAACUAUGCUUGUAUAGGGUGAAGCCAGAGGAAACUCUGGUGGAGGCUCGCAGCGGUUCUGACGUGCAAAUCGAUCGUCAAAUAUGAGCAUGGGGGCGAAAGACUAAUCGA